rnacentral:rRNA from 1 species
GGUGGGACUGGCGAUUGGGACUAAGUCGUAACAAGGUAGCCGUACCGGAAGGUGCGGCUGGAUCACCUCCUUU